UACGUAGGGUGCGAGCGUUAAUCGGAAUUACUGGGCGUAAAGUGUGCGCAGGCGGCUUCGCAAGUCGAGUGUGAAAUCCCCGAGCUUAACUUGGGAAUUGCGCUCGAAACUACGGAGCUGGAGUGUGGCAGAGGAAGGUGGAAUUCCACGUGUAGCGGUGAAAUGCGCAGAUAUCAGGAGGAACACCGGUGGCGAAGGCGGGUCUCUGGGCAACAACUGACGCUGAGGAGCGAAAGCGUGGGGAGCGAACAGG
rnacentral:rRNA from 1 species